CCUACGGGGGGCAGCAGUGAGGAAUAUUGGUCAAUGGGCGAGAGUCUGAACCAGCCAAGUAGCGUGAAGGAUGACUGCCCUAUGGGUUGUAAACUUCUUUUAUAUGGGAAUAAAAUGUUCCACGUGUGGGAUUUUGUAUGUACCAUAUGAAUAAGGAUCGGCUAACUCCGUGCCAGCAGCCGCGGUAAUACGGAGGAUCCGAGCGUUAUCCGGAUUUAUUGGGUUUAAAGGGAGCGUAGGUGGAUUGUUAAGUCAGUUGUGAAAGUUUGCGGCUCAACCGUAAAAUUGCAGUUGAAACUGGCAGUCUUGAGUACAGUAGAGGUGGGCGGAAUUCGUGGUGUAGCGGUGAAAUGCUUAGAUAUCACGAAGAACUCCGAUUGCGAAGGCAGUUCACUGGACUGCAACUGACACUGAGGCUCGAAAGUGUGGGUAUCAAACAGGAUUAGAUACCCGUGUAGUC
rnacentral:rRNA from 1 species